UUUUCCUCUUUCCAUAUUUACCCUUUCCUUUUUAACCCACGGGGUCGUAUGCUUCUUAUUUCCACUCCACCUCUUUUCACUUGACCGCCACCAUCUCCAUCCAUCUCAGUCGACAGUCGAAACUAAUUGCCGCCACCAAAACCAGCAACACCCCCUCCGCCUCUACUAUUAGCAGAUUUACCAUGUGUUUUGCGUCCGUUUUUCAACCGAUAUCAAUUUGUUAUUGAUUUUCUUAAUCUUCAAAACGAAUUUCAGAGACGAUUUGAUUUUUUUGUUUUCAAUUUGGUAAUUUUCAACAAUCAAAAUCCAAUUUCUCUUCUUCUAAUCCAAAACAUUGAAUGAAUAUAGAGAUUCAACAACAAUUUCUGUAUUGUUCUUCUGAUUUUUAGAUCAAUUUUGGGGAUUUUUCUUAGGGUUUGAUUUUGUUUUAGAACGGGAUAAGAAGAAAGUAUGCCAUCUCAUGUAGAUCUAGAUCAUCAGAUCGAACAUUUAAUGGAAUGUAAGCCAUUACCUGAAGCAGAAGUAAAAGGUUUAUGUGAACAAGCAAGAACAAUUCUUGUUGAAGAAUGGAACGUAUAACCUGUCAAGUAUCCGGCUACUGUUUGUGGUGAUAUUCAUGGUUGAUUUCAUGAUUUAAUUGAGUUAUUUCGGAUCGGAGAUCACAUAGGUGAGAUUUUGCUCUUGAUUCACUACUAUGUAGACAUGCAAAAGUGAAUAACACUAUUCCGAACCAACACCAUAAAGUGAGCAGUUAACAAGAUUUUUGUUUUUGGGAUCAACAUUGGUUGUUGAUACAACUGACGGUGGCGGCGGCGGCG